GGCUCUGUGGUGCAAUGGAUAGUGCAUUAGACUUCUAAACAGAAUGAAAUGAUUCAAAGGUUGUGGGUUCGACUCCCACCAGAGUUG
rnacentral:tRNA from 1 species